rnacentral:rRNA from 1 species
UUGUACACACCGCCCGUCGUUACUACCGAUUGAAUGGCUUAGUGAGGUCUUGGGAGCGUUGGCUUGGUGGGCGACCGCCGCGCUGAUGCAAACUUGAUCAAACUUGGUCAUUUAGAGGAAGUACAAGUCGUAACAAGGUUUCCGUAGGUGAACCUGCGGAAGGAUCAUUUUUGAACCAAAUAUAACACUGUGACGAGCCCUUGCGUAGCGAGGGCGACUGCUUCCGGUUCGCCGGAUUAUUUUUUACCAGUUUUCUGAUAAUGUUAGUGAAAAACUUUCAACAACGGAUCUCUUGGUUCUCGCAUCGAUGAAGAACGCAGCAAAGCGCGAUAGGUAAUGCGAAUUGCAGACGUGAGUCAUUGAAUCUUUGAACGCACAUUGCGCCAGUUUACUGGCAUACUGCGUUGAGCGUCGGCCUUCCUCCACAGGUGCUGCUACUUACAGUAGUGAAAGGCAUGGACACGCACCCGUUAGCAAACCGGUGUUGACCUACAAAUUCGACCUCAGCGUAGUAAGAUUACCCGCUGAACUUAAGCAUAUCAAUAAGCGGAGGAAAAGAAACCAACAGGGAUUGCCCUAGUAAUGGCGAAUGAACAGGCAAAAGCUCAGAUUUGAAACCCUCGGGAUUGUAAUCUGGAGACCUGGAUUUGGCACGCUGACCAAGUCUUCUGGAACGGAGCGCCAUGGAGGGUGACAGCCCCGUAGCAGCAGCCGCAGUAAAUCCGGGUCGACGAGUCGA